rnacentral:lncRNA from 1 species
UCCACACUGAAAUUUCUGCAGUCACUCCAUUUUAAAAUCUUACUAGUACCAGGAAUUAACAUGAUUCCAGGAAAUAGUUGCAUGGACAAAAAAAUCACACCAGGGAAUUAACAAAAGAAAAAUAUGAUGAUGAAUAAAAAUUGAAUCAGCACAACUAACCAGGAAGUCCAAGCCCAGAUAUCUGGCGUGGCCUUUCCUCCGGCAAGGAAUCCUGAGAAUUUAGUAGACUUGAAAUAUCAGAAAAUUAUAAUAUUUUUCAUUCUAU